rnacentral:rRNA from 1 species
AUGGCGGACGUCGUAGACCCCAGCUCCGGGCCGCCCCGCCCGCUGCCUCCGCCGCCCGACAGCCCCAGCCCCGAGGACCGCCCCGUGCCGCUGCCCCCGCCCCCGCCGCCGCCGCCCGGCGGGCCCCCGCCCACCCGCAAGCGGAGCCGCUCGCCCCCGCGGCCCUCCCUGCCGCCGCCGCCGCCCAUCGGCUCCUCGCGCCCCGAGCGCAUCCGCGACCGCGACCGCCGCGGCUCGCGCAGCCCCCCGCCGCGCCGCCGCCACUCGCCGCCGUCCAGGAGGUCCCCGUCGCCGCCCUUCAAGCGGUCCAGGCGGGACGACGGGUACGACCGCCGAGGAGGUCGCGGCAGCCCCCCACCACGGUACGACCGUGGCGGAGGCAGAGGUGGGUACGACGAUGACCGGUACCACGGCAGGCAUCGUGCUUCAGAUUGGCCUGAUUCUAGAUUUGGGGCACCGAAUGAUGGUCCUGGGAAUACCCAAAGGGAAGGCUUAAUGACCUACAAACAGUUCAUUCAAGUUCUUGAGGAUGAUGUAUCACCAGCUGAAGCUGAGAGCAGGUACCAAGAGUACAAGACGGAAUACAUCACUACCCAGAAACGUGCUUAUUUUGAUCUCCACAAGAAUGAGGACUGGUUGAAAGACAAGUACCAUCCAACCAACUUAUUAUCUGUUAUUGAAAGGAGGAAUGAACGCUGUAAAGUAGUCGCUAAGGAUUUCUUUCUUGAUUUGCAAAAUGGAACUCUGGACCUUGGCCCUGGAAUAAUUGCGUCUGCAGCAAAUAAAUCAGAAAAUGGCAAUGAUGGAAACUCCGAGGAUGAUGCAGAUGGUGACAAAAGAAGAAAACAAAGCAGAGGUUCUUCAAAAGAAACAGAUCCUCUUUCUGCUGCUCCUAAGGCUCAUCCGGUCAGCUCUGAACCUCGACGAAUUCAAACUGACAUAGAACGAACCCUAGGUCUUGUCCGUAGGCUGGACACCGAGAAGGGUAUUCAGGGAAAUGUCUUGUCAAGUGGUGAUCAUGAGAAGUCGGAUGUAGACAAAUCACAUAUGGGAUCUAUGGGCCCUAUAGUUAUAGUCCGAGGCUUAACAACUGUCAAGGGCCUUGAAGGUGUUGAGCUCCUUGACACCCUUCUUACAUAUUUAUGGCGUAUUCAUGGAGUUGAUUACUAUGGCAUGUCCGAGACGAACGAGGCAAAAGGCCUUCGUCAUGUGAGAACUGAUAAUAAGACUCCUAGUACAACUAAUAUCAAUGCUGCUGAUUGGGAGAAGAAGCUGGAUACUUACUGGCAGGAAAGGUUGACUGGUCAAGAUCCCAUGGUUAUAUUAACGGCCAAGGAUAAAAUUGAUGCAGCAGCUGCUGAAGUCCUUGAACCUCAUGUCAGGAAAAUAAGGGAUGAGAAGUAUGGAUGGAAAUAUGGCUGUGGAGCCAAGGGCUGUACAAAACUUUUCCAUGCUCCUGAGUUUGUUUACAAGCAUUUGAGGCUCAAGCAUCCAGAGAUUGUGUUAGAAGUUACUUCAAACCUCCGGGAGGAUAUUUAUUCCCAAAAUUACAUGAGUGACCCUAAUGCACCAGGUGGAACACCAGUUAUGCAGCAAUCUGCAGCAGACAAAUCAAGGCGGAGAUCUGACAAUGGUAUGGAUAGUCGUCUGAGAUAUGACCGUGGCAAUCGCAGAGAAUAUGACAGGGCAGAUAGAGAUGGAGGCAGACAUGGUAGAGGUGAUGGCUCUCCAAGCCGUGAUGGACCUGACGAUCAGAUGUUUGAUUCCUUCCGUGGAAGAGGCUCCAAUGCUCCUUUUUCGGCUGAAUUCCCUGCUCCACCGAUAUUGAUGCCUGUUCCCGGUGCCGGUCCAUUGGGACCAUUUGUUCCUGCACCUCCAGAAAUAGCCAUGCAUAUGCUGAGAGAGCAAGGACCUUCCCCAUUCGAACCAAAUGGCGGACCUCAUGGCAACUCAGGAGUGCUUGGAUCGAUGAUGGGUGGGGGCCCAGCACCAAUUAUAGCCAUGCCACCAUCUUUCCAUCAUGAUCCUCGUCGUUUGCGAAGCUAUAAUGAUCUCGAUGCCCCUGACGAGGAAGUUACUGUUCUUGACUACAGAAGUUUGUAG